rnacentral:rRNA from 1 species
AUUGAACGCUGGCGGCAGGCCUAACACAUGCAAGUCGAACGAGUGGCGGACGGGUGAGUAAUGUCUGGGAAACUGCCCGAUGGAGGGGGAUAACUACUGGAAACGGUAGCUAAUACCGCAUACCAUCGGAUGUGCCCAGAUGGGAUUAGCUAGUAGGUGGGGUAACGGCUAACCUAGGCGACGAUCCCUAGCUGGUCUGAGAGGAGGACCAGCCACACUGGAACGGCGACACUGGCCAGACUCCGACGGGAGGCAGCAGUGGGGAAGAUUGCACAAUGGGCGCAAGCCGGAUGCAGCCAGGCCGCGUGUAUGAAGAAGGCCUUCGGGUUGUAAAGGACUUUCAGCGAGGAGGCGUUACUCGCAGAAGAAGCAUCGGCUAACUCCGUGCCAGCCGCCGCGGUAAUAC